CUACGGGAGGCAGCAGUGAGGAAUAUUGGUCAAUGGGCGAGAGCCUGAACCAGCCAUCCCGCGUGCAGGAUGACGGCGCUAUGCGUUGUAAACUGCUUUUCUACUAGAAGAAACCUGAUUACGAGUAAUCAGUUGCCGGUAUAGUAGGAAUAAGCAUCGGCUAACUCCGUGCCAGCAGCCGCGGUAAUACGGAGGAUGCAAGCGUUAUCCGGAUUCAGUGGGUUUAAAGGGUGCGCAGGCGGGCUUUUAAGUCAGUGGUGAAAUACUGCCGCUUAACGGUAGAACUGCCAUUGAUACUGAGAGUCUUGAAUAUGGUUGAGGUAGGCGGAAUGUGUUGUGUAGCGGUGAAAUGCAUAGAUAUGACACAGAACACCGAUUGCGAAGGCAGCUUACUAAGCCAUUAUUGACGCUGAGGCACGAAAGCGUGGGGAGCGAACAGGAUUAGAUACCCGUGUAGUC
rnacentral:rRNA from 1 species